UACGAAGGGGGCUAGCGUUGCUCGGAAUCACUGGGCGUAAAGCGCACGUAGGCGGCUUUUUAAGUCAGAGGUGAAAUCCUGGAGCUCAACUCCAGAACUGCCUUGAUACUGAAGAUCUUGAGUUCGGGAGAGGUGAGUGGAACUGCGAGUGUAGAGGUGAAAUUCGUAGAUAUUCGCAAGAACACCAGUGGCGAAGGCGGCUCACUGGCCCGAUACUGACGCUGAUGCACGAAAGCGUGGGGAGCAAACAGG
rnacentral:rRNA from 1 species